rnacentral:tRNA from 1 species
GGAUUGUGGUUCAGUGGUAAAGCCACUUGCCUGGAAUGUGUGAGGCCCUGGGUUCAAUCCUCAGCACCA